rnacentral:rRNA from 1 species
GGGUUGUGAGGUUAAGCGACUAAGCGUACACGGUGGAUGCCCUGGCAGUCAGAGGCGAUGAAGGACGUGCUAAUCUGCGAAAAGCGUCGGUAAGGUGAUAUGAACCGUUAUAACCGGCGAUGUCCGAAUGGGGAAACCCAGUGCAAUUCGUUGCACUAUCGUUAACUGAAUACAUAGGUUAACGAGGCGAACCGGGGGAACUGAAACAUCUAAGUACCCCGAGGAAAAGAAAUCAACCGAGAUUCCCCAGUAGCGGCGAGCGAACGGGGAGCAGCCCAGAGUCUGAAUCAGCUUGUGUGUUAGUGGAACGGUCUGGAAAGUCCGACGGUACAGGGUGAUAGUCCCGUACACCAAAAUGCACAGGUUGUGAACUCGAAGAGUAGGGCGGGACACGUGGUAUCCUGUCUGAAUAUGGGGCGACCAUCCUCCAAGGCUAAAUACUCCUGACUGACCGAUAGUGAACCAGUACCGUGAGGGAAAGGCGAAAAGAACCCCGGCGAGGGGAGUGAAAAAGAACCUGAAACCGUGUACGUACAAGCAGUGGGAGCACCUUCGGGUGUGACUGCGUACCUUUUGUAUAAUGGGUCAGCGACUUAUAUUCUGUAGCAAGGUUAACCGUAUAGGGGAGCCGCAGGGAAACCGAGUCUUAACUGGGCGUUAAGUUGCAGGGUAUAGACCCGAAACCCGGUGAUCUAGCCAUGGGCAGGUUGAAGGUUGGGUAACACUAACUGGAGGACCGAACCGACUAAUGUUGAAAAAAUAGCGGAUGACUUGUGGCUGGGGGUGAAAGGCCAAUCAAACCGGGAGAUAGCUGGUUCUCCCCGAAAGCUAUUUAGGUAGCGCCUCGUGAACUCAUCUUCGGGGGUAGAGCACUGUUUCGGCUAGGGGGUCAUCCCGACUUACCAACCCGAUGCAAACUACGAAUACCGAAGAAUGUUAUCACGGGAGACACACGGCGGGUGCUAACGUCCGUCGUGAAGAGGGAAACAACCCAGACCGCCAGCUAAGGUCCCAAAGUCAUGGUUAAGUGGGAAACGAUGUGGGAAGGCACAGACAGCCGGGAUGUUGGCUUAGAAGCAGCCAUCAUUUAAAGAAAGCGUAAUAGCUCACUGGUCGAGUCGGCCUGCGCGGAAGAUGUAACGGGGCUAAACCAUGCACCGAAGCUGCGGCAGCGACACUAUGUGUUGUUGGGUAGGGGAGCGUUCUGUAAGCCUGCGAAGGUGACCUGUGAGGGUUGCUGGAGGUAUCAGAAGUGCGAAUGCUGACAUAAGUAACGAUAAAGCGGGUGAAAAGCCCGCUCGCCGGAAGACCAAGGGUUCCUGUCCAACGUUAAUCGGGGCAGGGUGAGUCGACCCCUAAGGCGAGGCCGAAAGGCGUAGUCGAUGGGAAACAGGUUAAUAUUCCUGUACUUGGUGUUACUGCGAAGGGGGGACGGAGAAGGCUAUGUUAGCCGGGCGACGGUUGUCCCGGUUUAAGCAUGUAGGCUGGUUAUCCAGGCAAACCCGGAUAAUCAAGGCUGAGGUGUGAUGACAAGGCACUACGGUGCUGAAGUAACAAAUGCCCUGCUUCCAGGAAAAGCCUCUAAGCAUCAGGUAACAUCAAAUCGUACCCCAAACCGACACAGGUGGUCAGGUAGAGAAUACCAAGGCGCUUGAGAGAACUCGGGUGAAGGAACUAGGCAAAAUGGUGCCGUAACUUCGGGAGAAGGCACGCUGGUGUGUAGGUGAAGCCCCUGCGGGUGGAGCUGAGACCAGUCGAAGAUACCAGCUGGCUGCAACUGUUUAUUAAAAACACAGCACUGUGCAAACACGAAAGUGGACGUAUACGGUGUGACGCCUGCCCGGUGCCGGAAGGUUAAUUGAUGGGGUUAUCCGUAAGGAGAAGCUCUUGAUCGAAGCCCCGGUAAACGGCGGCCGUAACUAUAACGGUCCUAAGGUAGCGAAAUUCCUUGUCGGGUAAGUUCCGACCUGCACGAAUGGCGUAAUGAUGGCCAGGCUGUCUCCACCCGAGACUCAGUGAAAUUGAACUCGCUGUGAAGAUGCAGUGUACCCGCGGCAAGACGGAAAGACCCCGUGAACCUUUACUAUAGCUUGACACUGAACAUUGAGCCUUGAUGUGUAGGAUAGGUGGGAGGCUUUGAAGCGUGGACGCCAGUCUGCGUGGAGCCAACCUUGAAAUACCACCCUUUAAUGUUUGAUGUUCUAACGUUGGCCCCUGACCGGGGUUGCGGACAGUGUCUGGUGGGUAGUUUGACUGGGGCGGUCUCCUCCCAAAGCGUAACGGAGGAGCACGAAGGUUAGCUAAUCCGGUCGGACAUCAGGAGGUUAGUGCAAUGGCAUAAGCUAGCUUGACUGCGAGCGUGACGGCGCGAGCAGGUGCGAAAGCAGGUCAUAGUGAUCCGGUGGUUCUGAAUGGAAGGGCCAUCGCUCAACGGAUAAAAGGUACUCCGGGGAUAACAGGCUGAUACCGCCCAAGAGUUCAUAUCGACGGCGGUGUUUGGCACCUCGAUGUCGGCUCAUCACAUCCCGGGGCUGAAGUAGGUCCCAAGGGUAUGGCUGUUCGCCAUUUAAAGUGGUACGCGAGCUGGGUUUAGAACGUCGUGAGACAGUUCGGUCCCUAUCUGCCGUGGGCGCUGGAGAAUUGAGGGGGGCUGCUCCUAGUACGAGAGGACCGGAGUGGACGCAUCACUGGUGUUCGGGUUGUCAUGCCAAUGGCACUGCCCGGUAGCUAAAUGCGGAAGAGAUAAGUGCUGAAAGCAUCUAAGCACGAAACUUGCCCCGAGAUGAGUUCUCCCUGAGACUUUAAGUCUCCUGAAGGAACGUUAAAGACGAUGACGUUGAUAGGCCGGGUGUGUAAGCGCAGCGAUGCGUUGAGCUAACCGGUACUAAUGAACCGUGAGGCUUAACCUUACAACGCCGAAG